AACGAACGCUGGCGGCAUGCCUAACACAUGCAAGUCGAACGACACCUCCGUGACUAGUGGCUCACAGGUGCGUCACGCGUCGGAACGUGCCCGUAUGCUCGGAAUAACUCUUCUUAAGGGGUGCUAAUGCCGGGUAAUGUAUUCGAAUCCAAGAUUUAUCCUCCUUGGAUGGGCCCGCGUUGGACUGGCCUGGUGGUAGGGUAAAAGCCUAUCACGGCUAAGCUACAUAGCUGGUCUGAGAGGAAGAGCAGCCACUCUGAGACUGAGCAACGGCCGAGACUCUUACGGGAGGCAGGAGAGGGGAAUAUAGGAAUAUCGGGGAAAGCAUGAUGGAGCUAUGCUGGGUGAGUGAUGAAGGCCGUAGGGUUGUAAAGCACUUUUACCCGGGAUGAUAAUGACAGUACCGGGAGAAUAAGCACCGGCUAACUCCGUG
rnacentral:rRNA from 1 species